rnacentral:rRNA from 1 species
UGAGGAACAUGACCUUCGGCGGGGGAUAGCCGGCCCAACGGCCGGGUAAUACCGCGUACGACCACUUUGGGACAUCCCUCGGUGGUGAAAGCAGCAAUGCGCCGAUGGAGUGCCUCGCGGCCUAUCAGCUAGUUGGUGAGGUAACGGCUCACCAAGGCGACGACGGGUAGCUGGUCUGAGAGGAUGGCCAGCCACAUUAGGACUGAGACACGGCCCAGACUCCUACGGGAGCAG